rnacentral:rRNA from 1 species
UGGGGAAUAUUGCACAAUGGGCGAAAGCCUGAUGCAGCAACGCCGCGUGAGCGAUGAAGGCCUUCGGGUCGUAAAGCUCUGUCCUAUGGGAAGAUAAUGACGGUACCAUAGGAGGAAGCCCCGGCUAACUACGUGCCAGCAGCCGCGGUAAUACGUAGGGGGCAAGCGUUAUCCGGAAUUACUGGGCGUAAAGGGUGCGUAGGCGGUUUAUCAAGUCAGGGGUGAAAGGCUACGGCUCAACCGUAGUGAG